rnacentral:rRNA from 1 species
CCUACGGGAGGCAGCAGUAGGGAAUAUUGCUCAAUGGGGGAAACCCUGAAGCAGCAACGCCGCGUGGAGGAUGAAGGUUUUCGGAUUGUAAACUCCUUUUGUUAGAGAAGAUAAUGACGGUAUCUAACGAAUAAGCACCGGCUAACUCCGUGCCAGCAGCCGCGGUAAUACGGAGGGUGCAAGCGUUACCCGGAAUCACUGGGCGUAAAGAGCGCGUAGGCGGGAUAGCAAGUCAGAUGUGAAAUCCUAGGGCUUAACCAUAGAACUGCAUUUGAAACUGUUAUUCUAGAGUAUGGGAGAGGUAGGUGGAAUUCUUGGUGUAGGGGUGAAAUCCGUAGAGAUCAAGAGGAAUACUGAUUGCGAAGGCGACCUGCUAGAACAUAACUGACGCUGAGGCGCGAAAGCGUGGGGAGCAAACAGGAUUAGAUACCCCAGUAGUC